rnacentral:snoRNA from 1 species
UCCAUGAUGAUGAAUGAAGAUGUUUCCUUCAGAGCAGGAAGCUGGUGAGAAGAUGAGAAUCUUCUUCACUGAUGAAGACUGUUCAGUGAUUCUGGAUGUGAUACUGAAGGAGGAAACAUUGUCUGAGUGGA